GGUGGCGUCCAGCUGGGGCCAGCAUAUGGUGUGAAACCACCUGUGACGCACCCCGGAUUUUUCUUCCUCAGUUUGCUCCUUAUUACCAACUCCAGGGAGGCCCUAGCUAUGGGGUGAGGAAAACACCAGUGCACCAGAGGAGGUGGUGUGGAGAUUGUGCCAGGCACAGGACCUUUAUGAGCUGCUCCAGGUCAAUCUUGGCGACACCAUUUCCACGUGAUGCUUCAGAAACGAUUAUCAGAGGUACUGAAGGAUUCCACCACAGUCCUAUCCUGAGGUCGCAUGGUACUAUGAUAUACGGAUGUUUUCAUUUUUGUCCUUGGUUUCUGGCUUAGACCCCCAGGCAGGUUGUAGAAACUCUAAUCUUCUCCUGCCGUUAGCUGGCCAUAAAUUCUCUGACCUGCCUUGGCUGAUAGUGGGUCAUAAGACCUUCUCAAUCCAGAGGAUUUCUGCUCCAGACCCUGGAGGAAAGAAGGCCACCCAGCGAGGCCAAGAAGAAUACAAAUAGACAGGCCAUGCUGGGUGGGCUUCCCUACCCAGUCUCUCAGCAAUCAUGUCUACAUAAUGAAGUCUCCAUGAAACCCAAAAGGAGAACACCAGAGAUGUUGCUGACACAUGGAGGUUCCUGGAGGGCCGUGUGACAGGAGGAGACAUGGAUGCUUGUGCUCCUUCCCCCAGACCUGGCCCUAUUCAUCUCUUCAUCUGCGUCCUUUAUAAUAAACCAGUAAGUGCAUUUACCUGAGUUCUGUGAGCUGCUCAAGCAAAUUAAUUGAGAAGUCCACUACAGCCCACUGGUGCGUGUACAGCCUCUGCCUUUUUAUGGCCCAGGGAGGAAGACUAAAGAAAUGACUGUUGUGUUAAGUGUGAACUGAAGGCCAGAGGGACAAGAUGAGCGUGCAGCACCCAAAGUUCAGUCCAUCUCCCCGGGAGGCGAUGCUGAGGUCAGGACCGGAAGUCCUGUUGUCAUAAAAUAUCUGUGUUAGUCAGCUUUUUGUUGCUGUGACCAAAAUGCACGACAUGAACAACUUAGAGAAGGAAAGGUUUAGUUCGGCUCAGUGUUCCAGAGGUUUGAACCACGGUUGCUGAGUCCGUUGCUCUGGGCCCAAGGUGAGGCAGAACAUCAUGGUGAAACUGGUUUAAGAUGGAACUAGAUUCUCCACUUCUGCUGGCAGAUGGAGUCCUCAUAAGCUGCAGCUUUUCAUAAUGGGAAAGUAUUUCUUGGAUAAGUUACAAAUGCAUAGAACAUAAAAUUGAAAAGGGGACUUGAUUAAAAUUAAAAAUGUCUGCCCCUCAAAAGAUACAGCAAAGAAAAUAGGUAGACUUGGAGAAAAGGCCUGUUGGGCUGCCCGGUGAGAUUUCGGUCAACGAUGGAGCACACAUACAGUGGUGGUCCAUAAGAUUAUAAUUGAGCUGAAACAUUUCUAUCACCUAGUGACAUCAUAGCUGUCACAGCAUUGAAGCAAAAUGCAUAACUCAAGAGCUUGUGAUGAUGCUGGUGUAAACAGACUCUGCUGCCAGUCAUGUAAAAGUACAGCACAUGCAAUAAACAUCAGUGCAUGAUA